GUGGGGAAUAUUGGACAAUGGGCGAAAGCCUGAUCCAGCAAUGCCGCGUGAGUGAAGAAGGCCUUAGGGUUGUAAAGCUCUUUUACCCGGGAUGAUAAUGACAGUACCGGGAGAAUAAGCUCCGGCUAACUCCGUGCCAGCAGCCGCGGUAAUACGGAGGGAGCUAGCGUUGUUCGGAAUCACUGGGCGUAAAGCGCACGUAGGCGGCUUUGUAAGUUAGAGGUGAAAGCCCGGGGCUCAACUACGGAACUGCCUUUAAGACUGCAUCGCUUGAAUCUGGGAGAGGUGAGUGGAAUUCCGAGUGUAGAGGUGAAAUUCGUAGAUAUUCGGAAGAACACCAGUGGCGAAGGCGGCUCACUGGACCAGAAUUGACGCUGAGGUGCGAAAGCGUGGGGAGCAAACAGGAUUAGAAACCCGUGUAGUCC
rnacentral:rRNA from 1 species